GAUAGCGGCCAUAGCUGUCGGGAAACACCUGGUCUCAUUCCGAACCCAGCAGUUAAGCCGGCAAACGUAUCAUGUUGUACUGAGGUACGCGAGUCCCCGGGAAGCAUGGUGAGCUGCUAUCA
rnacentral:rRNA from 1 species